rnacentral:rRNA from 1 species
AUUGAACGCUGGCGGCAUGCCUUACACAUGCAAGUCGAACGGUAACAGGCCUUCGGAUGCUGACGAGUGGCGAACGGGUGAGUAAUACAUCGGAACGUGCCCGAUCGUGGGGGAUAACGAGGCGAAAGCUUUGCUAAUACCGCAUACGAUCUACGGAUGAAAGCGGGGGAUCUUCGGACCUCGCGCGGACGGAGCGGCCGAUGGCAGAUUAGGUAGUUGGUGGGAUAAAAGCUUACCAAGCCGACGAUCUGUAGCUGGUCUGAGAGGAUGAUCAGCCACACUGGGACUGAGACACGGCCCAGACUCCUACGGGAGGCAGCAGUGGGGAAUUUUGGACAAUGGGCGAAAGCCUGAUCCAGCCAUGCCGCGUGCAGGAUGAAGGCCUUUGGGUUGUAAACUGCUUUUGUACGGAACGAAAAGCCUCUUUCUAAUAAAGAGGGGUCAUGACGGUACCGUAAGAAUAAGCACCGGCUAACUACGUG